GUCUUUUUGAAUUAAAUUUAAAGUCUAACCUGCCCACUGAAAAUUUUUAAAUGGCCGCAGUAUUUUAACUGUGCAAGAGUAGCAUAAUCAUUAGCCUUUUAAUCGAAGGCUGGAAUGAAUGGUUGGACGAAAUAUUAACUGUUGCAUUUAAAUUUUUUAUUGAAUUUUAUUUUUAAGUCAAAAAGCUAAAAUUAAUUUAAAAGACGAGAACACCCUAUAAAUCUUUAUAUUUUAUUUAUUUUAAUUAUAAAGAUUAAUUUUAUGAUAAUAAAUAAAAAUAUUUUAUUGGGGUGAUAUUAAAAUUUAAAAAACUUUUAAUUUUAAAACAACCAAUUUAUGAAUAAUUGAUCCAUUAAUAAUCAUUAAAAAUUUAAGUUACUUUAGGGAUAACAGCGUAAAUUUUUUGGAGAGUUCAUAUCGAUAAAAAAGAUUGCGACCUCGAUGUUGGAUUAGAAUAUAAUUUUGGGUGUAGCUGUUUCAAAUUUUUAAGUCUGUUCGACUUUUAAAUUUCUU
rnacentral:rRNA from 1 species